AUACAUCAACCCGUGCCCUUGCCUUUUAAGUUACCCAAAAACGCAUUCAUCCCACCGUACUCCUUAGUAAUUUCGAUCUUUAAAUUUCUUCUUUUUAUUAUGGCAAAAAUGGUUGCUGCUGCUCAUGAAGAAAACCCUUUCGGUUUCGAAGAUUAUUUUCCUUCAAUGAUGGAAAGACUUGGAGCUGAAGGUUUUAUGAGGGAGCUUUGCAAUGGUUUUUGCUUGCUAAUGGAUCUGAAGGAGAUUUGGAUGGGGAUGGAGCUCUUAAUCAGAUGGAGUUUUGUAUUCUUUGAUGGAUGGAUCCAAGCAAUAUAUGGAUGACUUGGGUCUUAUUUAUUUCCAACCCUAAUUCAUUUUAGUAUUAUGUUUCUAUGCCUAUCUUUUGGAUGUAACGGUAUUAAUAUCAUGAGAUGCCAAAUAAAUAAAAUACUCAUGUGUAUGAUGUAUCUUUUCCUUGGAAGGAGUGUUACAUAAUCAUACUGCAUCAGGUACUACUUCGUCAUGUUAAUA